AUUGAACGCUGGCGGCAUGCCUUACACAUGCAAGUCGAACGGUAACAGGUCUUCGGAUGCUGACGAGUGGCGAACGGGUGAGUAAUACAUCGGAACGUGCCCGAGAGUGGGGGAUAACGAGGCGAAAGCUUUGCUAAUACCGCAUACGAUCUCAGGAUGAAAGCAGGGGACCGCAAGGCCUUGCGCUCACGGAGCGGCCGAUGGCAGAUUAGGUAGUUGGUGGGAUAAAAGCUUACCAAGCCGACGAUCUGUAGCUGGUCUGAGAGGACGACCAGCCACACUGGGACUGAGACACGGCCCAGACUCCUACGGGAGGCAGCAGUGGGGAAUUUUGGGCAAUGGGCGAAAGCCUGAUCUAGCCAUGCCGCGUGCAGGAUGAAGGCCUUCGGGUUGUAAACUGCUUUUGUACGGAACGAAAAGACUCUUUCUAAUAAAGAGGGUCCAUGACGGUACCGUAAGAAUAAGCACCGGCUAACUACGUGCCAGCCGCCGCCGUAAGAC
rnacentral:rRNA from 1 species